UACGUAGGGUGCGAGCGUUAAUCGGAAUUACUGGGCGUAAAGGGCGCGUAGGCGGCUCAUGAAGGCUGUGGUGAAAGUCCGGGGCUCAACCUCGGAUCGGCCGUGGCGACUCGUGGGCUGGAGCACUGUAGAGGCGGGUGGAAUUCCGGGUGUAGCGGUGGAAUGCGUAGAGAUCCGGAAGAACACCAGUGGCGAAGGCGGCCCGCUGGGCAGUGGCUGACGCUGAGGCGCGACAGCGUGGGGAGCAAACAGG
rnacentral:rRNA from 1 species